CCAGGGAGAGCACCUUAUUUAUUUAUUUAUUUGUUUAUUUGCUUGUUUAUUUAUUUAUUUUUAUCAGCUUCCUUCCUGAGUCAUUGUCUGCCCAGACCCAGCAAUUAGGAGAGGGUGAAGGAAGCUCAAAGCAAAGAUUGGAGGAAUCAUGAUUUCAUAGGAUUUAUUGCUGGAAGGUUCAACUCCAGAUAUUCAGUGAAGGUCUUAACAAAAGGCAUCAAUUCCCCAGGCUGCACUUGAAGACACUUAGAGGAGUAAACAUCUUUGUGAGGAACACUUGGAUGACUUCCUGUGUAAGAUAAGGAACAAAAAAGGUGAGGGAAACCUAUUUUAACCUCCAAGUCUUGAACACAGAUGAACUGAGGGGGUUGAGUCUUGAUUUUUUAAGUACCCUUUCUAAGUUUCACGGAAUGUAACACUUUCUCCUUUACUUUCUUUUCUUAACCUAGUGUUCAGUGUCACUAUUUGCUGUUAAACACAUGUGCCCACAUUUUCCUUCUUCCCCCACCACUAGUCAAGAAAACACUAACAAGCUAGGAGGUAUGUUUGAAGUCUCUUCUCAUCCCUUUCCAACAUAGAUUUGCCUGAAAAAUUUUUAAUUCCAUUUGUAGUUUUACAUCUGGUGCAAUGGAUCACUCAGAGCCCGAGGGUUCAGAGAAAAAAUAUUCUAUAAGCUCCAGAUAAAAGCAAUCCAAAGGAAUGUGGAAGGAGGUAAAAAUCAUAGCAAGUUUAGAGGAUGUUGGCAAAGAAGUUCUUUGGGGUCUUAGG
rnacentral:lncRNA from 1 species